CCGGGCGGGAGGGGAGCGGCCUGCUUGCUGGCGGGGCCGGCCCAUUGUUGCCGCCUUCAA
ensembl:miRNA gga-mir-12212 gga-mir-12212